CCGGGUACUGUCAUUAUCAUCCCGGGUAAAAGAACUUUACAACCCUAAGGCCUUCAUCACUCACGCAGCAUUGCGGGAUCAGGCUUUCGCCCAUUGUGCAA
rnacentral:rRNA from 1 species